rnacentral:rRNA from 1 species
AUACGGAGGGGGCUAGCGUUGUUCGGAUUUACUGGGCGUAAAGCGUGUGUAGGCGGAUGUCCAAGUCUGGUGUGAAAUCUUUACCGCUUACCGGAAAGAGGUCACUGGAAACUGGGCGUCUGGAGGUGGGUAGAGGCAAGCGGAAUUCCUGGUGUAGCGGUGGAAUGUGUAGAUAUCAGGAGGAACAUCGUUGACGAAGGCGGCUUGCUGGGCCCAACCUGACGCUGAGACACGAAAGCGUGGGGAGCGAACGGGAUUAGAAACCCCAGUAGUCC